rnacentral:misc_RNA from 1 species
GGAAGUAAAAGUCCGUAACAAGGUUUCCGUAGGUGAACCUGCGGAAGGAUCAUUAUUGUAUAACCGAGGUGCGAGGGCUGUCGCUGACCCGAAAGGUCGUGCACGCCCGAGUGCCCUCACACACAUCCAUCUCACCCCUAUGUGCACCACCGCGUGGGUCCCCCUUUGGCUUGUUCGGAGGGGGGCUUACGUUUUCACACAAACUUUGUAUGCAGUGUAGAAUGUAUUUUUUGUUUUUGCGAUCACGCAAUCAAUACAACUCUCAACAACGGAUCUCUUGGCUCUC